UACAGAGGGUGCGAGCGUUGUUCGGAAUUAUUGGGCGUAAAGCGCGUGUAGGCGGCUUUGCAAGUCGGGUGUGAAAGCCCUCAGCUUAACUGAGGAAGUGCGCCCGAAACUGCAUUGCUUGAGUACCGGAGAGGAUGGCGGAAUUCCCCAAGUAGAGGUGAAAUUCGUAGAUAUGGGGAGGAACACCGGUGGCGAAGGCGGCCAUCUGGACGGAUACUGACGCUGAGGUGCGAAAGCGUGGGGAGCAAACAGG
rnacentral:rRNA from 1 species